CGCUGGCGGCACGCCUAACACAUGCAAGUCGAGCGCUUCCCUUCGGGGAGGAGCGGCGGACGGGUUAGUAACGCGUGGGAACAUACCCUUUUCUACGGAAUAGCCUUUGGAAACGAAGAGUAAUACYGUAUACGCCCUCUUKUAGAGAUAUUUGGGGGGAAAGAUUUAUCGGUGAAGGAUUGGCCCGCGUUAGAUUAGAUAGUUGGUGGGGUAAUGGCCUACCAAGUCUACGAUCUAUAGCUGGUUUGAGAGGAUGAUCAGCAACACUGGGACUGAGACACGGCCCAGACUCCUACGGGAGGCAGCAGUGGGGAAUCUUAGACAAUGGGCGCAAGCCUGAUCUAGCGAUGCCGCGUGAGUGAAGAAGGCCUUAGGGUCGUAAAGCUCUUUCGCCUGUGAUGAUAAUGACAGUAGCAGGUAAAGAAACCCCGGCUAACUCCGUGCCAGCAGCCGCGGUAAUACGGAGGGGGUUAGCGUUGUUCGGAAUUACUGGGCGUAAAGCGUACGUAGGCGGAUUAGUAAGUUAGGGGUGAAAUCCCAGGGCUCAACCCUGGAACUGCCUCUAAAACUGCUAGUCUUGAGAUCGAGAGAGGUGAGUGGAAUUCCGAGUGUAGAGGUGAAAUUCGUAGAUAUUCGGAGGAACAUCAGUGGCGAAGGCGGCUCACUGGCUCGAUACUGACGCUGAGGUACGAAAGUGUGGGGAGCAAACAGGAUUAGAUACCCUGGUAGUCCACACCGUAAACGAUGAAUGCCAGACGUCGGGUAGCAUGCUAUUCGGUGUCACACCUAACGGAUUAAGCAUUCCGCCUGGGGAGUACGGU
rnacentral:rRNA from 1 species